GACUCUCACUGGCUGACCAGUGGAAGAGGUGGGCUCUCUAUGGAGAGCGAGCUUUAAGAGGAGCUGGCAGCAGCCAGCCAGGUACCCUGUCUCUGGAUUUCCUGAGAUCCUCUCUUUAGCCAUUCACUGUCAUCUCACAGAGGUGGAGAACAGGGUCAUAUUUUAUGAGUUAGACAAAGGAUGCCUGGUGAGUCAUCUGUUAACCUUGGGCAUUGUUCAGGCUGGUGGUGAUACAACCAUGAUGAACCUUCUACGGUGGAUAUCUACAUUCUUUCAUGGGAGGAACACAUCUGAAGAAACAUCACAGGAACCUCCUCUAGAUAACUCCAGGCUUAAGUCUAUUCAGGGAGUUGUGUCUUCUCUGUGUAAUGACUAUGGUUGGAUUAAUGAAUCCAUAUUCUUCAAUACGGAUGUAAUAAGUGACAACAUGCCUCUGAACAUCGGGACAAAUGUCCUUGCACUUGUGGAAAAAGAUGAAAGAACUCAUAUCCUGAGAGCAAUCAAGCUGUUUCAGCAUUCAGGCCUUUCAAGGGGGACUUGCUGCUGUUUGAGUAUUCCAUGAACCCAGACACUUCUAACAUCAAUGUCCACACUGUGAGCCCCCCUCAACUCUCAGGAUAUGGAUGAGGUCUGUGUUACUGGCAUUGAUGGAAGAAAUGGUGUGGUGGAAGCCAACAUCUUUUUCACCCUCGUUUCCUCUCCAUACUCUCCCUGGGUAUACACCUAGAUUGUAUGAUAUUGUGAACACUACUGUGGUAGACAGCAUCCAGUCCCACUACUCUCGCAGAGUGGUGUCUAUGACUCCAGUGGAUAUGUUGUAUUAACCCAUACUUUUGAAUCAUUUUUAACAUUACUUCUGGAUUCUAAUGCCUGGUUAAAUAAUAUAGUAUGAGUAAAGAACAUAAAUGUGUUUGAAGU